rnacentral:rRNA from 1 species
GAUGAACGCUGGCGGCGUGCCUAAUACAUGCAAGUCGAGCGAACAGACGAGGAGCUUGCUCCUCUGACGUUAGCGGCGGACGGGUGAGUAACACGUGGAAAACCUACCUAUAAGACUGGGAUAACUUCGGGAAACCGGAGCUAAUACCGGAUAAUAUAUUGAACCGCAUGGUUCAAUAGUGAAAGACGGUUUUGCUGUCACUUAUAGAUGGAUCCGCGCCGCAUUAGCUAGUUGGUAAGGUAACGGCUUACCAAGGCGACGAUGCGUAGCCGACCUGAGAGGGUGAUCGGCCACACUGGAACUGAGACACGGUCCAGACUCCUACGGGAGGCAGCAGUAGGGAAUCUUCCGCAAUGGGCGAAAGCCUGACGGAGCAACGCCGCGUGAGUGAUGAAGGUCUUCGGAUCGUAAAACUCUGUUAUUAGGGAAGAACAAAUGUGUAAGUAACUACGCACGUCUUGACGGUACCUAAUCAGAAAGCCACGGCUAACUACGU